rnacentral:tRNA from 1 species
GCGCGCGUAGCUCAGUUGGUUAGAGCACCGAGCUUAUACCUCGGGGGUCCCUGGUUCGAGUCCAGGCGCGCGCACUA